rnacentral:lncRNA from 1 species
UUGGGACAUUUAUUGAAGGACAACAUCUGGAUAUAUACCUGGGGAAGAGCUAAGGUUGUAAUGCAAAUAGGCCUUCCAAUGCAGCAUGUACUAAGAAAACACUAAAGACUGCUCAAAGAAACAAUUCCUGGUCUACACUGUCACUUGAACAUUGAAAUGGAAAACUGAUUAGAACAUACUACAUUGUUAAAAUCAUCAUGCAAAGGCAACAUUGUCAAGGCCUUUUGGAGGGCGCAUCAGGUCACUUCUUGAAAAAUAAGAGAAGAUGGAAUCCUGCUUUUCCUUUCAGGGUAAAUAAUAGUCUCCAUGAAAGAAAAACAUCUCAAUGAAGAACUCUAGACAGGACGCUGGGCAGAAUGAACUCCACUGGUUUGCCAUUAUGAUGAAUUUAAGUAUACAGCCACCCAUCCCAUGAAAGCC